GAGAUCGUAGACCAAGAACUUGAAUGGUAACACAUGGACGCAAGGUUUAGACAGGUUCGGCUUUCAGAGAGUAAUACCCUACGUCUUGUGUUCUGUCUUGUGUUCUGGUGAAUUGUAUUGCUAAUCGCAGGUGCAAAGAGUUAACGUGAGGUGGGGUUGGAUGUCAGGUACCCUUAGGGGGCGUCCCUGGCCGCCUUAUAUAGACUGACGACCGAGGGUUACAAUCGGAUAGGAUCUAAUACUAGUCGGUUGUUAUAUGGAAAGCAAUCUGAGUCGGACCACAACAAGUAUCCCGUGAUAUCCGGGCACCCGGCCUUCGAGCUUGUGC
rnacentral:lncRNA from 1 species